UACGGAGGGUGCAAACGUUGCUCGGAAUCAUUGGGCGUAAAGCGCACGUAGGCGGCCUGAUAAGUCGGGUGUGAAAGCCCUGGGCUCAACCCAGGAAGUGCACUCGAAACUGUCAGGCUUGAAUAUGGAAGAGGGUCGCGGAAUUCCCGGUGUAGAGGUGAGAUUCGUAGAUAUCGGGAGGAACACCAGUGGCGAAGGCGGCGACCUGGGCCAAUAUUGACGCUGAGGUGCGAAAGCGUGGGGAGCAAACAGG
rnacentral:rRNA from 1 species